GUGGGUAUAGCUCAGUGGUAGAGCACAUGCCUAGCAUGCAUGAGGUCAUGGGUUGAAUCCCCAGUACCUCCA
rnacentral:tRNA from 1 species